rnacentral:tRNA from 1 species
UGGCUCAGUGGUAGAGCGCUUGCCUUGCAUGCAUGAGGUCCUGGGUUCGGUUCCUCAG